rnacentral:rRNA from 1 species
UGAACGCUGGCGGCGUGCCUAAUACAUGCAAGUCGAGCGAACAGACGAGGAGCUUGCUCCUCUGACGUUAGCGGCGGACGGGUGAGUAACACGUGGAUAACCUACCUAUAAGACUGGGAUAACUUCGGGAAACCGGAGCUAAUACCGGAUAAUAUAUUGAACCGCAUGGUUCAAUAGUGAAAGACGGUUUUGCUGUCACUUAUAGAUGGAUCCGCGCCGCAUUAGCUAGUUGGUAAGGUAACGGCUUACCAAGGCAACGAUGCGUAGCCGACCUGAGAGGGUGAUCGGCCACACUGGAACUGAGACACGGUCCAGACUCCUACGGGAGGCAGCAGUAGGGAAUCUUCCGCAAUGGGCGAAAGCUUGACGGAGCAACGCCGCGUGAGUGAUGAAGGUCUUCGGAUCGUAAAACUCUGUUAUUAGGGAAGAACAAAUGUGUAAGUAACUAUGCACGUCUUGACGGUACCUAACCAGAAAGCCACGGCUAACUACGUG